UACGUAGGGGGCUAGCGUUGUCCGGAUUUAUUGGGCGUAAAGAGCGUGUAGGCGGCCAGGUAGGUCUGCUGUGAAAACUCGAGGCUCAACCUCGAGAUGUCGGCGGAAACCAUCUGGCUAGAGUCCGGAAGAGGAAAGUGGAAUUCCUGGUGUAGCGGUGAAAUGCGCAGAUAUCAGGAGGAACACCGGUGGCGAAGGCGGGACUCUGGGCCGAUACUGACGCUGAGGAGCGAAAGCGUGGGGAGCGAACAGG
rnacentral:rRNA from 1 species